GACUGCUUGGCGCAAUGGUAGCGCGUCGACCUCCUAUCCCAUCUGUGGGGUUUGAAAGUCGAAGGUUGCGGGUUCGAGUCCCGUGGUGGUCG